rnacentral:tRNA from 1 species
GCCUGGGUGGCUCAGUUGCUUGAGUGUCUGACUCUUGAUUUCAGCUCAGCUCAUGAUCUCAUGGUUUGUGGGUUCAAGCCCUGCCUCAGGCU